CACGUCUCAGGACGAACGCUGGCGGCGUGCCUAAUACAUGCAAGUCGAACGCUUCUUUUUCCACCGGAGCUUGCUCCACCGGAAAAAGAGGAGUGGCGAACGGGUGAGUAACACGUGGGUAACCUGCCCAUCAGAAGGGGAUAACACUUGGAAACAGGUGCUAAUACCGUAUAACAAUCGAAACCGCAUGGUUUUGAUUUGAAAGGCGCUUUCGGGUGUCGCUGAUGGAUGGACCCGCGGUGCAUUAGCUAGUUGGUGAGGUAACGGCUCACCAAGGCGACGAUGCAUAGCCGACCUGAGAGGGUGAUCGGCCACAUUGGGACUGAGACACGGCCCAAACUCCUACGGGAGGCAGCAGUAGGGAAUCUUCGGCAAUGGACGAAAGUCUGACCGAGCAACGCCGCGUGAGUGAAGAAGGUUUUCGGAUCGUAAAACUCUGUUGUUAGAGAAGAACAAGGAUGAGAGUAACUGUUCAUCCCUUGACGGUAUCUAACCAGAAAGCCACGGCUAACUACGUGCCAGCAGCCGCGGUAAUACGUAGGUGGCAAGCGUUGUCCGGAUUUAUUGGGCGUAAAGCGAGCGCAGGCGCGUUAUCUUAAGUCAUGAUGCUGAAAGCCCCCGGCUCAACCGGGGAGGGUCAUUGGAAACUGGGAGACUUGAGUGCAGAAGAGGAGAGUGGAAUUCCAUGUGUAGCGGUGAAAUGCGUAGAUAUAUGGAGGAACACCAGUGGCGAAGGCGGCUCUCUGGUCUGUAACUGACGCUGAGGCUCGAAAGCGUGGGGAGCAAACAGGAUUAGAUACCCUGGUAGUCCACGCCGUAAACGAUGAGUGCUAAGUGUUGGAGGGUUUCCGCCCUUCAGUGCUGCAGCUAACGCAUUAAGCACUCCGCCUGGGGAGUACGACCGCAAGGUUGAAACUCAAAGGAAUUGACGGGGGCCCGCACAAGCGGUGGAGCAUGUGGUUUAAUUCGAAGCAACGCGAAGAACCUUACCAGGUCUUGACAUCCUUUGACCACUCUAGAGAUAGAGCUUCCCCUUCGGGGGCAAAGUGACAGGUGGUGCAUGGUUGUCGUCAGCUCGUGUCGUGAGAUGUUGGGUUAAGUCCCGCAACGAGCGCAACCCUUAUUGUUAGUUGCCAUCAUUUAGUUGGGCACUCUAGCAAGACUGCCGGUGACAAACCGGAGGAAGGUGGGGAUGACGUCAAAUCAUCAUGCCCCUUAUGACCUGGGCUACACACGUGCUACAAUGGGAAGUACAACGAGUCGCAAAGUCGCGAGGCUAAGCUAAUCUCUUAAAGCUUCUCUCAGUUCGGAUUGUAGGCUGCAACUCGCCUACAUGAAGCCGGAAUCGCUAGUAAUCGCGGAUCAGCACGCCGCGGUGAAUACGUUCCCGGGCC
rnacentral:rRNA from 1 species